ensembl:lncRNA
CAUAGACUCUAUUCUGAGCUCUAAUGCCUCCUUGCCUUUAGCAUUAGUGCUCAUAACCAUGCUAAAUUUCUUAUGGUUCUACAUACAGGUGAGCGUCAGAAGCCUGAAGUACCCAUAUUUCCCUACAUUCCUUACCCAGUUUGUCCUGACACCGGCCUACCCGUGAAGACAAAAUUUCCAGUCCUGUGUCCUGAAAAAAUAUUUGCGCUGGGAGGACUCAUGGCAGAUCCAGUGACAGAAAUAGAAGUACCAGUGCUUGGGGUUACGAUCCAUCCUCACACUGGGCAAAAGCUGGCUGUGGGUGGGACAUACCUCAACCCCAUCACCGGCACAUUGACACCGCUGGAGAUCGGGGGUCCUAUGACAGAGCCAGAAGGAGGCAAGAUUGUUCCAAUACUCGGGGUCGGUUUGGAUGGUAACACUGGAGAAGUCAUACCUCUAGGUGGGCUGACGGAUCCUUCUGGAAACUUGAUGCUUCUUGGAGACUCCUUCAUUGAGCCUCUGAGUGGGAAAAUCGCCCGAGUACAGGGAGCUCAUCUGCAGCAAGGCAAGGUGCUGCCCCAUGGUGGCAGCUACCAAGCGGUGCUGGAAGCUGAGUGCCUGCUUUCCCAAAGCCGCGUGGUGAAUGCUCUAAAGAAGCUUAAGGCAUCAAUUUUGGAAGACACCUGUCUAGCAGCAGGCAGAUUGGCAGCGCUAAAGGCUUCAGUAGAAGAUAUGAAGAAAUCUUUCACUGCUAGAUUUUACCAUGCAAUGCACUGCUUGCAAAGCCUCAGGAAAAAACAAGAAAUAGCUUCGAAUUUCAAGAGUAAUGGUGGGAAUCUGGGUAUGAUCAAAUAUCCUGGCACAGAGAUGUGGAUCCCUGCAGUGUUUGGAAUGAAUAUCCCAGAUCCCGGUGGGUCCCGUUUGAUGGUGCCAAUUCUGGGAAUAGACUUUGACUGGGAUAGCAGGCAGCCUUCCCCACUCGCAGGAACCAUGGAAGAUGGAAAUGGAAAAGGCCUUGUCCCUAUCACUAUUGGUGCCAGAACCAUCAGUCCAAUUACAGGUGAAAUUGGGCCUGUUGUCGGUGCUCAAACCCACCCCUGGACACACAAUGUAAUUCCUGUUGUUCAGCCCUUCACAGCUUUACCAAGAGCCACGGAUUCAGAGCUGCUGGACCUUCUAGAGAAGGAAAUAAAUUCAAGGCAAAUAUACUGGCACUGCAGAAUAAAAAAGGAAGAAGGGCUUCUUAAAGAACUGAGUUCUCUGUUUCUUCAUGUCCUUGAUGCUACAAACGAGGGAAAGGCACAGAAGAUAAAAUACAGGGGGGAAGUGAAAGACAUUGAGGAAAUGUGUCAUUUUCUUGAAGGGUCCUCUCUGAAAGAAGCUGAGAGAAGAGCUUCAAAGUAUUUCAGCAGCCAGCUGGGCACUGCAUUGCCCUUACUAUUCAAAGCUGACAGAGAUGAAAAAGAACAGGAAAUACAGGUUCUGCUGGAGAUCAGAAAGGCACUGGAAAAGCUGAUGCAGUUUGUUAUAAAAAUUCAACAAGAAGAAAAGCGAAUAUACAUGGAGAUGACAGAGAGAGAGAAGCAAAGGGGAUGCACGUCAAGUACGGAAACAGUAACCAGUCUGGUGCACAGACAGACCGUGCUCGCUCUAGCCUCUGAAUUUCAGGAAUGCAUGCUGAAACAACAAGCUAACGUGGAGACUGCAUACACCAAGCUGGAAUUUUUGAGGGACCUGUCAGAUAUCCAAACCCAGCAGGCAAAGAUGCUUUUCUCUGGGUCACAACACUGUUUUGAAAACUAUGAGACGGCCAGAUAUUAUGGCAGCAGUGGGAUCUCACACAGUACAUGCGAGGUCAUCCAUCACAGAGUGAUCCCUCUGCUCAAGUCUAUGGUUCAGAUGCUGGAGGAAGACAGCAGAAGUUAUGUGUCAUCUGAGACACCCGGUGAGAGAGGAGAUAAAGAAACAGCAAGCUCUUGUCAGAGUAAACAAGAUGCCUUGUUGACUCAAGAAGGAGAACUAAUAGCAGUCGAUUCUACAACUCUAUCUACGAGGGAGUUUGUCAUAUAUCAGUAUGGCAUCUCUUUCCUGCAAUUUCUCAGACUUCACAUUGAUGUAAGUUUUUGA